rnacentral:rRNA from 1 species
CGGCGUGGAUGAGGCAUGCAAGUCGAACGAAGUACCAGGGCAACUUGGUACUUAGUGGCGGAAGGGUUAGUAAUACAUGAAUAACCUGCCUCUAACCUGGGGAUAACGGCUGGAAACGGCCGCUAAUACCGAAUGAGGUGAUUGGGAGGAAUCUCUUGAUCAUCAAAGUGGGGGACCUUGUAAAGGGGCCUUGCGGUUAGAGAGGGGUUCGUGGGAUAUCAGCUAGUUGGUGUGGUAAAGGCGCACCAAGGCUAAGACGUCUAGGCGGAUUGAGAGAUUGACCGCCAACACUGGGACUGA